AAAAGGAAAAAAUACAUGAGCUGCGAGAAGAAAAAAAAAAUGAUCUUACUUUUCUAAAGAUGAUAAGAUAGUUGGAUAAGUGUAGUCGAGUAAUGACAAUAGAUGAAGCCUUGGAAUUUUCAUUAUCGACUACCACUUUUCACAGAACUAUUUUCCUCGAGGGCACGAGUAUAAAUGAAAUCGUAAGGAACGAAAAUACAGUUAUUCGGACAUUUCCUCUUCGACGAUGUCGUCAGCUGUGUUUGGCAUUCUCAUUGAUGAAACAGCAUGGAGCUGUUACACUUUUGUUGUUUCAUCGAUAGUAAUAACUCAAGCAUACUAACAAUAACCAGAAUGGGAGAAAGAGAAAAAGGAAGAAAACUAUGUCGAUCGAACGGCUGUUUAGUUGAAAGAUUACUAUUAUUAUUUGAGAAUAUUGGACGGAUAUUAAUAAUAAAGAUUUCCCUAAAGAUUUUAAACCUAUUAAGAAUUAUUUGAAAUUGAUAUAUUAACGCACUUGUUUAAUUCAAUUGAUAUAAUGACUAUUAUUGAUGAAAAUAUUGAUGAAGACUAGUUUAUCAAUUUUUGUUUAAUUUACGCUCAUAACGUUAUAUAAUAAUGUAAUUAAAUAAUAUUAUUUCCUCA